CUGCCCUGCACUCUGGGACAAGCCCUGGAAACGGGGUCUAAUACCGGAUACGAGUUUCACGGGCAUCCGUGAGGCUGGAAAGCUCCGGCGGUGCAGGAUGAGCCCGCGGCCUAUCAGCUUGUUGGUGAGGUAAUGGCUCACCAAGGCGACGACGGGUAGCCGGCCUGAGAGGGCGACCGGCCACACUGGGACUGAGACACGGCCCAGACUCCUACGGGAGGCAGCAGUGGGGAAUAUUGCACAAUGGGCGCAAGCCUGAUGCAGCGACGCCGCGUGAGGGAUGACGGCCUUCGGGUUGUAAACCUCUUUCAGCAGGGAAGAAGCGCAAGUGACGGUACCUGCAGAAGAAGCGCCGGCUAACUACGUGCCAGCAGCCGCGGUAAUACGUAGGGCGCGAGCGUUGUCCGGAAUUAUUGGGCGUAAAGAGCUCGUAGGCGGCUUGUCGCGUCGGUUGUGAAAGCCCGGGGCUUAACCCCGGGUCUGCAGUCGAUACGGGCAGGCUAGAGUUCGGUAGGGGAGAUCGGAAUUCCUGGUGUAGCGGUGAAAUGCGCAGAUAUCAGGAGGAACACCGGUGGCGAAGGCGGAUCUCUGGGCCGAUACUGACGCUGAGGAGCGAAAGCGUGGGGAGCGAACAGGAUUAGAU
rnacentral:rRNA from 1 species